rnacentral:misc_RNA from 1 species
GUUUGAUGGUCACGUGACCAGUAUACCUGCUCCUCGUAAAUUGGCUUCCUCCCAACUAUAUUACAAAUUUCGCGCGAUUUCUCUCACUAUCUGUCUAGAUUCAUCUUCCCUUCCAUUCCGGUUCCUUCAUUUCGAUUUCUCGAUCAUACUCUCAUCUUGCCAGUGUUCCUGAGCUUAUAUACCACGACAAUUUUGAACCACAUGCACAUCACUUGUUUGAUUCGUGUCGUCUCUCCCAUUUUCAACGCCCAGUUAAUAUGUAUCGCUAAAGCUUUGGGUGUUGUAAUGAUCCUGCUGACUGUUUUGAGGGUUUCUUUCUUUUGGUUUUUUUCUAAUAAUCAGCAGAAUUUCUUAAUAAGACUUGCAUUGCAGUAUAUAUAUAUGCCUUAAUUUUGUCUUAUAUAGUUUCUUAUGUGCUUAUCAUAAUUUGCGUGUAGUUGUAGUGUAUUGGUUUUGUCGUUAAGGAUGGUCGCGUUCGGGAAGAAGUUGAAAGAAAAUCAAAUUGAAGAAUGGCGAGAAUACUAUAUUGACUAUAAGUUUCUGAAGAAGAAAGUCAACCGUUAUACACAACAAAUUGAUGUUGGGGCAGAAAAUCAGCUAUAUGUUCUCAAGGAUUUCUCAAGAAUGCUGGACUGUCAGAUUGAAAAGAUUGUCUUGUUUCUGAUACAACAGCAAGGACUACUAGCAAGCAGAUUAUUGAAUCUAGGAGAAGAGCAUGAUGCUCUUUUACAGCAAUCAGAUGGUUCUAAAAUACCUGAACUACGAGAAGCAUAUAGAGUGGUUGGACAUGAUCUCUUAAAGCUCCUCUUCUUUGUGGAGAUGAAUGCUACUGGUUUACGAAAGAUUCUGAAGAAAUUUGAUAAGCGCUUUGGCUAUAGAUUUACUGAUUACUAUGUUAAAACCCGUGCAAACCAUCCUUAUUCCCAGCUGCAACAGGUGUUCAAGCAUGUGGUAAUAUGCUUUAAUGAAAAAUGUAUUCUUCAAAGUAUUUAUCCUUCAAUAAUCAUUAUUUUAAGUUAAUAACUCCCUGGAAUUAUGGCUCAUCAUGUAACUAGUUGCAGUUUUGUGUUCUUCUUUGGUACCUGAUAUUGAGUACUUGAGCAUGCAGGGCAUUGAGGCUGUUGUUGGAGCCAUAUCUCGUAAUCUUGCAGAUCUCCAAGAUCAUGAGGGGAACUACAUAUCAAUAUAUGAUCAGCCUUCAUUAAGCCACCCGGUUUUUUUCUCAUAUCCGUUGAAAAUUAUAAGCAGUAGUAUUGCCCCCUUUUGUUCUUUCUUAACGUUUUAAACAGUUCCCUUAAGUAUUUGUGGCCAUUCUUCAUGUUGUAUUUCAACAAUGCAUUGAGCGGCAUUUUCUUUUUCUUGGCAUGUGAAAAGACAAGUAGUCAUUUCAAUCUAGAGAAAUCUCAAACAAACCUGCCUGGAAUCACAUUAUGUGCACUGCAAUUUAUAAACAAUGAAAUAAUUGUCAUAAUUUCUGAAUAUAAAAUUUUUGAGACUAGAAUGGAGAAGUACUUUGAAGUAAAAAAUUUGACAUAAAUUGUUAUUAUAAUUUCUUGGAUUUAAUAAUGUUUCGCUAUACUGUAAAAAGACUAAGUGAGAUGCCAAACUUGAGCAUGUAAUGACAUCUGUCUUUAUAUUGAUUCAGAAAGUACUUUGCAUAUGUAAUUGACAUUUGAUGGAUAAUUUUGCAGGAUCCCAUCAUUGACUCUAUUAGAGCGGCUGUAAACAAGUUGUCAAACUCAACAAAUUUCCUUGAGUACUUGGGGAAGCAUGCAUUCAUUAUUCAAGAGGAAUUACCAACUUCCUCCGAAGAAAGUUUCAUUGAGCAGAAUUAUCAUUUUAUGUCACUUCUCCUGAACUUGGUGAACACGUUUCUUUAUAUGGUCAACACAUAU